CUCUACAUAGUAGUGAAAUUUCCUGAAGAAGAUGAUGCUGUUGCCAUUAUACAUAAAAACUGGAUCGAUGGCAACGGCUGCAUGUGGCCUCCACAAACAAAAUACAUAAAAAGCUUGUUAAAAGCUGGGGCCAUGCCUGGAAAUGACUGGAGGAGUCUGCCUUGUGAAGUGGUUGAGGCAUUUGCCAAUUACGAAGAUGCUGUACGGGGCCUCAGAAAAGCUGAAGACAACUCAGACAUCGCAAGUGCAAGUGAACGUGGCAGAGGAAAAAGGAAAAAGAAAAGAAGGCUCUACAGUGACGAAGACGAGAUGCCACUCCCACAGCCACCACAGUCUAUGCAGAAAAGAGCAACACAUGGUAUUGCAGAAAGAUCUGCAAGGAUGGAACCGUCAAGUAUUUCGACUGUUUCACAGCACUUGGCA